rnacentral:rRNA from 1 species
GAUGAACGCUGGCGGCGUGCCUAAUACAUGCAAGUCGAGCGAACGGACGAGAAGCUUGCUUCUCUGAUGUUAGCGGCGGACGGGUGAGUAACACGUGGAUAACCUACCUAUAAGACUGGGAUAACUUCGGGAAACCGGAGCUAAUACCGGAUAAUAUUUUGAACCGCAUGGUUCAAAAGUGAAAGACGGUCUUGCUGUCACUUAUAGAUGGAUCCGCGCUGCAUUAGCUAGUUGGUAAGGUAACGGCUUACCAAGGCAACGAUGCAUAGCCGACCUGAGAGGGUGAUCGGCCACCCGGGAACUGAGACAGGGCCCAAACCCCUACGGGAGGCAGGGGGAGGAAAUCUUCCGCAAGGGGCGAAAGCCUGACGGGGCAACGCCGGGGGAGUGAUAAAGGUUUUGGGACCGUAAAACCUUUUUUUUGGGGAAGAACAAAUUGGAAAGUAACUGGGCAAUUUUUACCGGUACCUAAUAAGAAAGCCCCGGUAAACUACGU